rnacentral:tRNA from 1 species
AUUUAAAGGGUAGAGGUUGGGGGUAGCAUUGUUCUGAAGUAAAAAUUAGAAUUAAAUA